rnacentral:rRNA from 1 species
UACGUAGGGUGCGAGCGUUGUCCGGAAUUAUUGGGCGUAAAGAGCUCGUAGGCGGUCUGUCGCGUCUGCUGUGAAAACCCGAGGCUCAACCUCGGGCCUGCAGUGGGUACGGGCAGACUAGAGUGCGGUAGGGGAGACUGGAAUUCCUGGUGUAGCGGUGGAAUGCGCAGAUAUCAGGAGGAACACCGAUGGCGAAGGCAGGUCUCUGGGCCGCAACUGACGCUGAGGAGCGAAAGCGUGGGGAGCGAACAGG